CCGGCGGAGCUGGGAUUUGAACCCAGUGUCUGCAUCCUGAGGCCUCUAAGUUUGUGUGAAGCAGCUGGGAGCUAAUGGCAGACCAGGCUGGACGCUGGCAGGGAGAGCUGCCCUCCGUAGGACUGGGAGGGCUGCCAGCUUGUCGCCCACGCUGGCUUGCCCCCAUCUGCUUCCUCCCACCCCACCUCCCUGGCUCUCCUGUUUGCCCUCAAGAUAAUCAUGCUUCAAAGUGGGGCUGUCACCACCAAGAAUCUGGGA
rnacentral:lncRNA from 1 species